GAUGAACGCUGGCGGCGUGCCUAAUACAUGCAAGUCGAGCGAACAGACGAGGAGCUUGCUCCUCUGACGUUAGCGGCGGACGGGUGAGUAACACGUGGAUAACCUACCUAUAAGACUGGGAUAACUUCGGGAAACCGGAGCUAAUACCGGAUAAUAUAUUGAACCGCAUGGUUCAAUAGUGAAAGACGGUUUUGCUUUCACUUAUAGAUGGAUCCGCGCCGCAUUAGCUAGUUGGUAAGGUAACGGCUUACCAAGGCAACGAUGCGUAGCCGACCUGAGAGGGUGAUCGGCCACACUGGAACUGAGACACGGUCCAGACUCCUACGGGAGACAGCAGUAGGGAAUCUUCCGCAAUGGGCGAAAGCCUGACGGAGCAACGCCGCGUGAGUGAUGAAGGUCUUCGGAUCGUAAAACUCUGUUAUUAGGGAAGAACAAAUGUGUAAGUAACUAUGCACGUCUUGACGGUACCUAAUCAGAAAGCCACGGCUAACUACGUG
rnacentral:rRNA from 1 species